UACGUAGGUGGCAAGCGUUGUCCGGAUUUAUUGGGUUUAAAGGGUGCGUAGGCGGCCCUGUAAGUCAGUGGUGAAAUACUCUAGCUUAACUAGAGGGGUGCCAAUGAUACUGCAGGGCUUGAGUACAGAUGAGGUAGGCGGAAUUGACGGUGUAGCAGUGAAAUGCAUAGAUAUCGUCAAGAACACCGAUAGCGAAGGCAGCUUACUGGGCUGUAACUGACGCUGAUGCACGAAAGUGUGGGGAUCAAACAGG
rnacentral:rRNA from 1 species